rnacentral:rRNA from 1 species
UACGUAGGGGGCGAGCGUUUAUCCGGAAUUACUGGGCGUAAAGCGCACGCAGGCGGUUCGCCAAGUUUGGAGUGACAGUUGUCGGCUCAACCGACAAAGGACUUCAAAAACUGGUGAACUUGAGGACGAGAGAGGAACAUGGAACUCCAGGUGUAGUAGUGAAAUGCGUAGAUAUCUGGAAGAACACCAAUGGCGAAGGCAAUGUUCUGGCUCGUUUCUGACGCUCAGGUGCGAAAGCCAGGGGAGCGAACGGG